AAAUGGGUCUAACUGGUCUAACAACCAACACUUAUGUGCCCUCGGCACAAUCUGAUGCAAAUACAGAAAUCUGGGUCUACCGUCAACCGCGACGGCACCCGACAGUCCGAAACAGUCUAUACACUACUGUAAAAAAUAAACUCGGCAUCCCAGCACGAGCGUAAACUUAUCUUACACUAAUCUGAGUAUCCAUCGCAUACUAACAACGACGAUACAAUAGAACCACAGCUCCUAAAACUAAAUCUAAUAAUUUUCAGAAAUGACAGUGUAGGAUCUAUAUGUUUUCUCCUAA
rnacentral:lncRNA from 1 species